AAUGAACGCUGGCGGCAUGCCUAACACAUGCAAGUCGAACGAAGUCUUCGGACUUAGUGGCGCACGGGUGCGUAACACGUGGGAAUGUACCCAGGGGUGCGGAAUAACAGUUAGAAAUGACUGCUAAUACCGCAUAAUGACUUCGGUCCAAAGAUUUAUCGCCCUUGGAUCAGCCCGCGCCGGAUUAGCUUGUUGGUGAGGUAAAAGCUCACCAAGGCGACGAUCCGUAGCUGGUCUGAGAGGAUGAUCAGCCACACUGGGACUGAGACACGGCCCAG
rnacentral:rRNA from 1 species